GGGGACCUAGUGCCAGGCUGGUGGUGUCCUGCUGUAGAUGUGGGGUUUUUUCCUUCUUUAUGGCUCCCUGAUGGUGGGCGGCACCCAGGGAGCCGGUGUGGAGCAGCCGGCUGGGCUGACGGCGGUGGAGGGAGCCUUGGUCCAGGUGAACUGCACGUACGGGACGUCUGGGUUCAACGGGCUCUCCUGGUACCAGCAGCGCGCCGGCGGGGCGCCGGUGUUUCUCUCUUACAUUGUGCUGGACGAGUUGCAAACCAGAGGUCGUUUUUCCACCUUCCUUAGUCGCUCUGACAGACACAGCCACCUCCUUCUGAGGAAGCUCCGGGUGACAGACUCUGCUUCCUACCUCUGUGCUGUGAGCGACACGGUGGCUGCGGGGCCUCUUCACCUGCACCGAAAUCCCUCGUCCUCGCGGAGCCAGGGGUGUUUCCUGCUGUGCAUUCGCAUUGCGGAGGGGGGGUGGUCUUAA